GUGCUGGCUUCGGCAACACGCGUACUAAAAUUGGGAUAAUGCAGAGGUUAUCAUGGCCCCUGCACAAGGUGGAUGAUGUGCAAAUUCAUGGUGGAUUCCAUAUUUUU